ensembl:lncRNA
GUGUGUGACGUCAGUGUCAGCUGGUCAAUGUUUACAUCCAAAAUUUGGUGACAUAUUGAAUGUUUAUGGGAGGACCGAGAGAGUAACAACUCCCGAUUUUAACAUCAUUUUGCUAAAUACAGUUGACACUAUAAAGCAGCGUCGAAUAAACGUCACUUCCAUAAGGUAAAGACAGUUGCUUCGUAUUUUUAUGGCGAGUUUCUUUGUUUGCUCCUCCAGCCUGCCUAUUUCUGUUUUCUCCCGUGUACCACUGCAGUGCGCUUCAUAGACGACAUCAACAAAGACAAAGUUCCGAAGAGACGUCAUCAGUCCCUAUGAUUCUCUUGUAGUGUGGCAGUGCCAUCCCCCGGCAACUCAAGAAAACACGAAAACUAGGCUAGUUGAUUAUAUACCUCUACAUUGACCUGUAUUACACAUGCCCAUCGUUUACACACACC